AAGCAAGUUCAGGCAGAGCAGAGAGAACUAAGCCAAGCUCUGUCUGCUCUCCAGAGUCUGUUAGGGAGAGAUGUACAUUGGCACCCCUCUGUCUGCUGCCCCGCAACACAUGGAACAGCAGAAGGAGAAAACUGAUCUCUCAGGCUGCAGCAGGACCCUGCACACAAACAACCGGAGACCCUUCACCAAGCCUCAGCUACGAGAAAAGUGCUCGGCCACCCAACCCUCAGGAUGCCUGGCAUUCUCAACGUCCCGGACACUCUAGGUUCCAGUACAAUAGCUACAGAUCUUGGAACAGCAAGGCCAUUCCGGAUAUGGACCUCUCCCCAAACAGACAGGACAGAGGUAGUGGGGGGUUGGGGGGGAUCUAAGAGCAGGAAAUUGCUGUGGCCAGGGUAGCAGGGGCUUGGUGUCUCGGGAACACAACCUACAAACAGUUCAAGCUGUGAGGUGCUGGGUAGCUGUAGGGACUGAAAAUGUUUCUGCAGCUGAAUGCUGCUUUGCCGUUUAGACUUCCUGCCUUACACUGACUCAACUUGGGAUUUUCUUUUUUCUUUUUUUUACUCAUAUGUGCGUGUGCGUGUUCUGCAGACCAAACCUAGAGCUUCUUCUGAACUACAACCAUAGUCUUUUUGUUGUUGUUGUUGUUGUUUGAGACAGGGUUUUUCUGCCUGUUCUGGGAUUUGCUCUGUAGACCCAAUAGGCCUCAAACUCACAGAGCUCCUCCUGCCUCUGCCUCCCAAGUGCUGCGAUUAAAGGUGUGCGCCACCAGUGCCCGGCCCACAGCCCAUUUUGUAAUUUUCAUCGGCAGAUGGGGUCUUGCUAAAUAAUCCAGACCUUAUAGCCCACAUAUGUCUACAACUCACCAUCUUCCCCUCAUCCUCCCUCCCAAACAGCUGAGCUUACAGACCGGUACCCCCGUAAAAAGUAAAUUUUAGAGAUGGGUGAUGGGCCGACUUUGCAUUCUGAAUUCCCCACCUCAAACCCCAUGGGACUCCGCUGUAACUUCCGCUUUCCUCCACUUGGGUGAGUUUUUUAUAUUCACCUGUGAGUGAGAACACACAGUACGUGGCACCACCUUUCUCUAUUCACCCGCAAAGGGACAUUUAGGUUGGCUCUGGUCCUGCUGUUCCGGAUGCUGUUGCUGUGAACACUGAGGACGGACAUCUCUUAAGCAGGCUCCUUCCGUACCUUAGCCGUGAGUCCAGAAAUUGAACUUCUAAAUCAUAUCGUAUUGUUUUCUUUUUCUCUUUAAAUGUAGACUCAAACCAAACCUAAAUAAAACACCACCACCACCACCCCCCAAAAAAAAAUUACGGCGCGGCCACCCUUUUACCGCCUUUCCUGAGUCGUCCUCUCUCUGGCCCCUCCCACUGCUGUGUGAGCCCCUCCCCUCCGCUCAGAAGGAGCAGUCAAAGCCGCUUCCCUGUGUCAGAGCAUCUGCUUCACCACAGCCUGCAGGUCUUUCUAGAGUCUGCCAGGUUAGGGCAGAUGGUCCCCGUGGAUAGAGUUAUCUUCUGCAAAUGUUUCCAUCAGUCAUAGUCGGGGCUGUCACUCUCGUCCUCUAGGGCUAAGGAGGCCUCUUCCAGACUUUGUGCUUCCUUGAAGGCCUAAAAUUCCCCAGCCUGACCAUAACCUUUGACCUCUGGAGGUUUCUGAAGUUCUGAUGACAUUCUGCAAGCUUUCCAAUGGCAGGUCAAUUACUCCAAUUACCAGGUGGUAUUUAAAGGAUCGUUUUUAAGUCCCCAUCAAAGAUACACUCCGUGUUAGACUUCUCUCCUGGCACUCCACAGUAAAGUCUGCAUGACUGUAGAGGGAAAAAAAUCGGGUGGGGGUAUAAUUUUCAUAUACUUAAAACAAAAACAAAACAAAACAAACAAAAAACUGGUGCAGGGCUGGAGAGAUGGCCCAGUGGUUAAGUGCGCUGGCUGUUCUUAAAGGGAACCCGAGUUCAAUUCCCAACACCCACAGGGCCGCUCACAACUGUCGGUAACUCCAGCUCCAGAGAAUCUGACACCCUCACCCAGACAUGCAUGCAAGCAAAACACCCAUGCACAGAAGAUAAAAAUAAAUCAUUUAAAAAAUAAAUAAAUAAAACCGCGGUGCAAUACAGCACAACCUAGUUGCUGUUGUAAGCAUUUAAAAUGGACCACCCAGUGAUGUCAGAUGUAGCCACAUCAUUGUGUGGUAGCCGGCACUGUCUCCAAAACACACGCUCACCACUCAAAAACCAGAGCUCUGCACUCAUGCAACACAAUGGGUCAUGGCUUCCGAAACCUCUGUGAAGGACAUAGAAGCCAGGCAACCGGGUUUAUCUAUCUCAUCACAGACAUACGGGGAAAGACUGCCGGUAAAAUGAUUUGAAUGCAUUAUUGCAGUUAAGUCCCAGCUCAACAAGGCACUUCCUAAACACCAGCAUUUCACACCUGCCAUGACUCCCAGGCUCCUAGCAGCAGAAGACAAACCACAACAAAAAACAUUUUACUCAUUUAACUUGCAGAUCUUAAACACACGUACACCUCAUGUGCAAUGUGUUUAACUAAUAACAGUAUUAUUUCAAAAUGCCAUCACAAAAUAGAUAGCUCUCUUCUUAAAGGAAAAAUUUUAAACCUAACAAUUUAAUAGAAUUAUAACUAAUCAUUUUAAGGGAAAUUAAAUGGCGGCUUAUUUUGAAAGGAAACCCACGGUCUUUACGGCAGCCUCCAAAGGUCAAGAGCCUUUCUAAAACCCACUUUUAAGCCAAGUCACUAGAAUGUUUUCACGUCUUUGUUAUCAGCCGGCUUGGAUGGGGAUUAAGUCCCUACAGAAGAAUUGGUCCCCAGAUAAUGUCAAUCAGGGCUCACAAUUUCGAGAUAAUUCCUUCCCUGAGGAGUCUAUUUUCAGUUUACCCUAGCCUAGGGUUAAUUGAUGAUUUACCCCCCUUUAGGAAACUCCUGCUCUACAAAACAGUGGGAGAGACACUGGGGGGGGGGGUCACUCACCCUGAGGGCUAAUUGCUGGAGCUGAGUGUUUCCUAUUCGAGACAGCAGGUCUCCUUUUAACAAACAAACCAUUUACUUGAGAACCGGACUGGAGAUCCAAUUCCUGGGGAGUUGGUGGAUGCCUGUGUGCACACACGGUGUCCAAGUGCUUGCACACACAGAGAGCAACAGAGUCUUUGUCCUUCAGACCUCUCUGAUCGUUCACAGCAGGCACUCUUCCCCCCCCCCCUUUCCCUAGCCCUACAAAUUGCUGUUCCUGGGAUAGGCACAGGUGAUCUCAACACGCCUGCCAUGUAGGAAUUGCUCUGGCUCAGAGAGAACACUAAGCACCCGUUCCCACUCUAUUCCCAAUGGCAUCCUCCUCCGUGCAUACAGUUAGCAAGGGACUCUUCCCUUUGUCUCAUUCCUUGCAGCCUUCCAUAAGCCCCAGCAAUAGUGACAUCAGCCAUAAAGCGGUUAGAGAGAGGUUCAGUCCUUCCCACUGAGGCCAGCACCAUUCUCCCACCCCCAAAACUACUUUUUCCAGGAUAAAAGCUCUCUCUGCACGUCUGGCUUCCGGCUCUGAUCUCCCAGGCAAUAGUCACAGAUGGAUGUCAUCGGUAGGGAUGAGGCUCUAACUUUACAGAUACCCUGGAUCAUCCCAACAAGCUCUCCAUCGCAGAAGACAAGGUGCUGGACCCAUUUCCCUCCUCCAAAGCAGACUACCUCACGUUUGCCAGGAAAGCCAGCAUUCAUCAGGGGUAAAUUAUACAGAGGCAACCACUUGAUAGUUGCUCAAACACUUAAAGCUGUUGGGUCAUGUCACGGUGUCUAUAAUCAUAGAAUGCAGAACAAGGCUUGAGUGGGGAUUUGGGAUUAUGUGUCUGGAUUGCUUGCUUGAUCAACAAAUGCUUCCUAUAGCAUAUUUCAUUCUAAAACAAUUGUGAAAGGGUUGGAAUAUAGCUCAGUUGGUAGAGUGCUUGCCUCAUAUAUACGAAGGCCUGGGUUCUUGCCCUGGCACAGAUUAACCACGCUUAGUGUCUCAAGUCUGUAGGUAGAAGCAGGAUCUAUAUCAGAAGUUUAAAGCCAUCUUCAGGUACAUAGUGAGUUUGACUGAGCCUGGGAUACAUUAGACCCUGUCUCUAGAUAGAUAGAUAGAUAGGCAGGCAGAUAGAUAAAUCUAUGGAACAGCAACAAAUAAAAAAUGACUCGAAGACAGUGAUGGAACCAGGUGGUUGUGGCACACGCCUUUAAUCCCAUCACUUGGGAGGCAGAGGCAGGCUGAUCUGUGUGAGUUCGAGGCCAACCUGGUCUACAGAGCUAAGUUUCAGGAUAGCUAGAGCUGUUACACAGAGAAACCCUGUUUUGAAAAACCAAAAGCAAAUAAAAAAUAAGAACAGGUCUCACUUCUGGGGCUGUGGGACAUACCUUUAAUUCCAGCACUCAGGAAACAGAGGCAGGAUGGAUCUCUGUGUGUUGUAGGGCAGCUUGGUCUACAUAGUGAGAUCUAGGACAGCCAGGGCUACAAAGUGAGACCCUGUUUCAUAAACAUAAAGAAGACAGGGUCUCAUUAAGUUGCCUUAGCCUCGGCUGGUCUGAACUCACAGAGCUCCUCCUGCAUCUGCCUCCCUAGUUUUGGAGUUAAGGGUGUGUGCCACCAUGUCCAGCCCUCAUAUGAUGCUGGUGUUAGGAUGCAGGCAUUUGUACUGCCCUGCCAUUGGUGUCCUAACAGGCUACAUCCUCAGCUGCAGCCACUAAGAGCACCUCCUGUGCACAUUCAAUAUUAAGGCUUCUUUAUAAAAGGUAGGCCUUGCCAGGCAGUGGUGGUGCAUGCCUUUAAUCCCAGCACUCCAGAGGCAGAGACAGGUGGAUCUCUGUGAGUUCCAAGGCCAAACCUG